GGCAGUCGGAGGAGUGAGCCAGCGUUUUCUCUCUCUGUCCCUCUGCAGACUGGCUCUGGUUGGCACCUGGUACCGCUGGAACCCUGAAAACCAGUUGAAGGUGGCUUCUCGUGGACCUGCUUCCCCGACUCUGAGGGACCCUGGGGACAGUCCUGGGCCUCUGCCCCAGGUGAAGCCAGAAUAAACAGAAUUCAGUCUGGCCAGUCACCCCUGCAUCACUGCCCACCAGAACCCUGCAAUUUCACCUCAUUUCGAGGGCUUGAAUUGCCUCUGGGAGUUUCUGAAAUAGCUCCCUUGGUAUAGCCUGAGAGGAACCGGAUAGGUCAAACCCGGAUGGGAAUGAGCCUAAACAGGAGAGGUGGACGGCCCAGCAGAACGCCCUGAAACCAGACCGUCUGACCCAGAGGGGCCUGAGGGAGCCAACCUCUCAUUUUACCGCAUGCUCACGUGACUUGCCUGGAAGAGCAAAAGGAACUGAACUCCUGAGCUGAGUGCAGCAGCCACUGCUCCAUCAGAAACCUUCACGGGCGGGGGUGGGGGUGGGGCUGCCCCAGGGCUUUUUCACUGGCUGCCCUUCCAACAGCUUCCUCCCGUGCCCCUGCUUUUUUGCUUCCUCUAAGCCUUCAUCUCUCAUGGCUGAGGUCACUUCUUUGCAGAAACCGUCCUUGAUCAAGCCCUGGCGAGAGAAGCCUCAUCUCUUGUUUUACUGACACCCUUCUUAGGACUUGAUAUCCUGCAUAUCUGCAGGUCGGGAGUCAUUACUUCCUUCAUGAGAUUUUCCAUUCCCAAGCUGGGUCAUUUCUGUUCCACGCACACGUCCGGGAGUGGCCUACUCGUGAUUGAAUGAAUGACAGACGGAUAUGCCUG
rnacentral:lncRNA from 1 species